UACGUAGGGGGCUAGCGUUGUCCGGAAUCAUUGGGCGUAAAGAGCGUGUAGGCGGUCCGUUAAGUCCGCUGUGAAAGUCGGGGGCUCAACCCUCGAAUGCCGGUGGAUACUGUCGGGCUUGAGUACGGAAGAGGCGAGUGGAAUUCCUGGUGUAGCGGUGAAAUGCGCAGAUAUCAGGAGGAACACCAAUUGCGAAGGCAGCUCGCUGGGACGUUACUGACGCUGAGACGCGAAAGCGUGGGGAGCAAACAGG
rnacentral:rRNA from 1 species